GCCGCCGCAAGUUUUGACAUUUUGGCGGCGGAGGCGCGCGCGGGCACUCCCUGGCCGAAGGCUACGGUGGUGGCCGACACUCCAGGGCCCCUUAGUCGCGCCCCGGUGCUCCCGCUACCCGGAGUCCGGCGGCCACGAGGCCCUGCCGCGCCCUCCAGCCCUCUUUCGUCCACCCGGCUGCCGCAGCCAUGUCUCGGGAGCCCGAGGAGGUGAACCGGCUCACGGAGAGCACCACCGGUGCACUUAGGUUGGGGAGGGGUCUGUGGUGCGUCGGCGGGCCCACGUCCCCCUCCCAAGUUCUCGGAAUCAGCGACCAGCGCUGGCCUGGCUGCCGGGCUUAAGCCUCCGGGACCAAAGACACCAGCUCGAGUUUCCUCUGAGAAAAGAAAGUGCCCAAGAAUGUGGGGGAGAGACUCCCACUGUAAUUAGGAUCGCCAGAAUGUUAUGGAACAGUUCAAUCCUGGGCUUCGAAAUUCGAUAAACCCAGGGAAAAAUUAUGAGAAAGCCGUAAAUGCUAUGAUCCUGGCAGGAAAAGCCUACUAUGACGGAGUGGCCAAGAGUGGUGAGAUUGCCACCAAUGUCGACUGAACUGGGCCAUGUCCUCACAGAGAUUUCAAGCACCCACAAGAAACUCAACGAGAGUCUUGAUGAAAAUUUUUUAAAAUUCCACAAAGAGAUUAGCCAUAAACUGGAGAAGAAGAUAGAACUUGACGUGAAAUAUAUGAAUGCGAGUCGCGGGGCAGGUACACAGGCUCGCAGCGCUCUUGCGGAGGUCUGCGGUGGCGGGAGCGGGCUCCGGAGAGCUUGAGAGCGCGGUGGGGCGGGGCGGGAGAAAGUGGCCGCCCGGAGGACGUGGGCGUUUACGUGUGGCAGCGGAAGAGUUUUGCUUUUGGUGCGCGCCUUCGAAAACAGUGCCUGCUGCUGACUAAGGGGUCCGCCUGAAACCUCCCCUCCUCCGCCCGCAGCCCAGGGCCGAGCUGGUUGGCCCGAGCCAGCGCGGGCGAGGUGGGAAGUGCGCCCGACCGCGCCCGGAGCCGCGCCCCCGAGUGCCCAUGGCUACGCGGUGCUGAGCGUGAGCGCCCGCCUGGAACCCUUGCCCCAGCCGCUGGCGCCACAGGACGAGCCCGUGUUCGCGCAGCUCAAGCCAGUGCUGGGCGCCGCGAACCCGGCCCGCGAUGCGGCGCUCUUUCCCGGCGAGGGAACUGAAGCAUCCGCACCACCGCCCGCAGGCCCCACAGCGGGCCCAGCAGCGCGCAGCCGAUCCGCGGCUGCCUCCGGAGGAGAUGGUCCAGUAUCAACAUGAACGUGUUCCUCCCUGACAUCACUCACCUGAGAACUGUCCUCUACAAAUCCCAGAGACCCUGCGUCACACACAUCAAGACAGAACCUGUUGCCAUUUUCAGCCACCAGAGUGAAACGACUGCCCCUCCUCCGGCCCGACCCAGGCCCUCCCUGAGUUCACCAGUAUAUUCAGCUCACACCAGACAGCAGCUCCAGAGGUGAACAAUAUUUUCCUCAAACAAGAACUUCCUACACCAGAUCUUCAUCUUUCUGUCCCUCCCCAGCAGGGCCACCUGUACCAGCUACUGAAUACACGGGAUCUAGAUAUGCCCAGUUCUGCAAACCAGACAGCAGCAAUGGACAUUGUUAAUGUUUCUAUGUCAGCUGCCUUGGCAGGCCUUAACACACACACCUCUGCUGUUCCUCAGACUGCAGUGAAACAGUUCCAGGCCAUGCCCCCUUGCACAUACACAAUACUCAGUCAGUUUCUUCCACAACAGGCUACUUACUUUCCCCCGUCACCACCAAGCUCAGAGCCUGGAAGUCCAGAUAGACAAGCAGAGAUGCUCCAGAAUUUAACCCCACCUCCAUCCUAUGCUGCUAUAAUUGCUUCUAAACUGGCAAUUCAGCAUCCAAAUUUACCCACCACCCUGCCAGUUAACUCACAAAACAUCCAACCUGUCAGAUACAAUAGAAGGAGUAACCCUGAUCUGGAGAAACGACGCAUUCACUACUGCGAUUACGCUGGUUGCACAAAAGUUUAUACAAAGUCUUCUCAUUUAAAAGCUCACCUGAGGACUCACACUGGUGAAAAGCCAUACAAGUGCACCUGGGAAGAUUGCGACUGGAGGUUCGCGAGAUCCGAUGAGCUGACCCGCCACUACCGGAAGCACACGGGCUCCAAGCCCUUCCAGUGCAGGGUGUGCAACCGCAACUUCUCACGCUCUAACCACCUGGCCCUGCACAUGAAGAGGCACCAGAACUGAGCACUACCUGUGCCAGGUCCACUGGGUUCCCUUUCAAACAGCAAACCUAACUAUUACUAUUAAAAAAAGAGAGAGAGAAAACAACAAAAACUGGAAAUGUAUAUUUUGUGUAUUUGAGAAAACAGGGAAUACAUUGUAUUAAUACCAAAGUGUUUGGUCAUUUUCAGAAUCUGGAAUGGUUGCUGUAAUGUAUAUGGCUUUACUCAAGCAGAUCUCAUCUCAUGACAGGCAGCCACAUCGCAACAUGGGUAAGGGGUGGGGGUGGAGGGGAGUGUGUGCAGCGUUUUUACCUAGGCACCAUCAUUUAACGUGACAGUGUUCAGCAAACCAAUCAGCUGGCAGGCACCGAAAGAAGGAUGGAUUGUAUGUCAAGAUUUUACUUGGUAUUGAGUAGGUUUUUUUCAAUAUUCGAUAAUUCCUUAGAGAUAUUACCAGGUAUACCUGGCAAUUCCCAAAUAGCCAUUGAACAAAUGUGUGGGUUUCUGGGGGUCACUCUUGGCCAGCAAGAGGUUUCUAAACCUGAGUGGGGGAGGGCACGGGAAAUAAAGACAGACAGAAAGCGGGGUCAGGAGGGGUGUGGAAAUCUUAUUCCGCACCAAAUUUAUUUCUCAAAGGCUCAGUAUAUAUACAUUUAUCCAGGCUCUGGUUUACGUCAUUGCAAGAGGAAAUGGAAAACACUAGAUGACCUACUCUACACAAUAAAGAUGGCAGAUACACAAUCAGUGGUUGUAAAAGAUGAUAGUCAUUCCAGGUGCUCAUAAAAGACAUUUACAUGGAGACAUUGCUCCUCGUGACUGCAAGAGUUUUUGGUUUCAAACAUCUGAUUAUCUUUUAAAUAGAUUCCCUUUGUCUGUUCCUGAUUCUUUUAUCUCGACUUCCCUCCUUCAGGAGGCCCUGUUUCUUGGCUCAAACCGCCAGUAUUGUAAAACUCGCUUUGCAAGCAUUUACAUGGGCGGGCUCCCCACAUGGGUUUUUAUACAUAUAUAUAUAUGAGUUGCCUAUAUUUGCUAUUCAAAAUUUUGGAAAUAUGCAAAUCAGCUUUAUAGGUUUAUUACAAGUUAUUUAGGAUUCUUUUGGGGAAAAGUCAUAAUUCUUUCGAAAAUAACCAUGAAUACACUUACAGUUAGAAUUUGUGGUAAGAUCCCUCUCAACAGAGUGCGGCUCCCUUUCAAAAAAAAAAAUUGUAGCAUUCUGGGGCUUAUGGUGCCCCCUCGUGCUGAGAGGCUGCCAUGACCACAGGUUUAGGUAACAACACUCAAUCCCCUUUGAAUUUUCUUUUUUGUUGUUGUUGUUUAGUUUUUAUUUUAAGUUUAGGGUUACCAGUGCAGGUUUGUUACACUGAUAAACCUGUGUCCUGGGGGAUUGUUGUACAGCUUAUCUCAUCACCCAGUUAUUAAGCCUAGUACCCAUUAGUUAUUUUUUCUGAUCCUCUCCUUCCUCCCACCUUUCACCUUCCAAAAAUCCCAGUGUGUUUUGUUCCCCUCUAUGUGUCCACAUGUUCUCAACAUUUAGCUCCCACUUAUAAGUGAGAACAUAUGGCAUUUGGUUUUCUGUUCCUGCCUCAGUUUGCUAAGGAUAAUGGCCUCCAGCUCCGUCCCUGUUCCUACAAAGGACAUAGUCUCACUGCAUAGAAUUGCUUGGUGUAUAUAUAUUACAUUUUCUUUAUCCAGUCUUCCACUGAUGGGCAUUUAGGUUGAUUCCAUGUCUUUGCUAUUGGGAAUGGCGUUGCUAAGAACACACACGUGCAUGUGUCUUUAUAAUAGAAUGGCAUAUUCCUUGGGUAUAUACACAGUAACGGCAUUGCUGAGUCAAAUGGUAUUUCUGUCUUUAAGGUCUUUGAGGAAUCGCCACAUUGUCUUCCACAAUGGUUGAACUAAUUUACACUCCCACCAACAGCAUUCUUUUCUCUCCACAAUCUUACCAGUAUCUGUUAUUUUUUUUUUUUUUUUUUUACUUUUUAAUAAUCAUUUUGACUGGUGUGACAUAGUAUCUCAUUGUGGUUUUAAUUUGCGUUUCUCUAACAAUUAGUGAUAUUGAGUUUUUUUCAUAUGCAUGUUGGCUGCAUGUAUGUCGUCUAUUGAGAAGUGUUUGUUCUUGUCCUUUGACCAUUCUUUAAUGGGGUUGUUUUCUUCUUGUGAAUUUAAGUUUCUUACAGAGGCUGGAUAUUACACUUUUGUUAGAUGCAUAGUUUGCAAACAUUUUCUCCCAUUCUGUAGGUUGUCUGUUUACUGUCUUGAUAGUUUAUUUUGCUGUGAAGAAGCUCUUUAGUUAAAUCCAAUUUGUCAAUUUUUUUUGUAUUGCAAUUGCUUUUGGCUUCAUCAUAGAAUCUUUGCCUUGUCCAUGUCCCUAAUUGUAUUGCCUAGGUUGUCUUCCAGGGUUUUUUUUUUAAGUUUUAGGUUUUACAUUAUUCAAACCAAAUAAGAAAAAAUAUAUAGUACUGUAUAUGCAAAUUGAAACACUGUCUGUCAAAUAAAAGACCUUAUAAUAUACUUAGGAAACUCUAGAAAAAAUUAAGAAGCCCAUUUAGAAAUUAAUAGAAUUAAGAAAAAUAGUUAACACAUACUCAAAUCAGUAGUAUUCUUAAUUAUUUAUUUAAUUCCCUUGAAAGUCUCAUAUACACCAUUAAGUAGUCACAUUCACAAACUUAACUUUCACAAAUUCAGCAGCAGUCUUAGGAAUACUAGGAGAAGAAGAACUCCAUAGAAAUGCAACUGUAAUAUUCAGUGAGGGAGGUGAAUUUCUGCUCCAUUCAAUAGUCCAGGUCUUCAUCAAGGUAUCUUCAAGGCUGAACUAAAACCAUAAAUAGAAAAAUGUCAUUUUCCUCUCCAUAUGCAUAUAAGAAUUCGUUACAUUAUAACACAGAGACAGACUUGCUUAUGUUAAAAAUUAUACUACUUUCCUGAUAAGAAACCUUAAAUGUUAUUUUUUUUAAACUUCUGUGUGCAUAAGAAUUACUUUUAGCCCAUGGAAAUACAGAGGAAUUAACAAAUGUCAUUUUUAGGAGCUGGCAAGAUGGCUGAAUAGAAACAGCUCCAGUCUGCAGCUCCCAGUGAGAUCAAAGCAAAAAGUGGGUGAUUUCUGCAUUUCCAACUGAGUGGUGCCUGGAGCCCCAGGGAGACCGAACCAUUCACUCCACUGUAAAGGGGGCUAAAGCCAGAGAGCCAAGUGGUCUUACUCAGCAGGUCCCACUCCCACUGAGCACAGCAAGCUAUGAACCACUGGCUUGAAACACUGCUAGCACAGCCAUCUGAAGUCAAUCGGACAAUCAGGCUUGGUGGGCAAGGGACGUCUGCCAUUACUGAGGCUUGAGUAGGCGGGUUUUGCCUGACAGUGCUAAGGAGGCCAGGGAGUUCAGUCUGAGCAGAACUCACCACAGCACGGCAAAGCGGCUGUGACCAGACUGCCUCUCUAGAUUCCUCUUCACUGGGCAGGGCAUCUCUGAAAGAAAGGCAUCAGCCCUAGUCAGAAGGGUAUAGAUAAAAUUCCCAUCUCCCUGGGACAGAGAACCUGAGGGAAAGCGUAGCUAUGGGCAUAGCUUCAGCAAACUUAAAUGUUCCCGGCUGCUGGCUCUGAGGCUAGCAGGGACUCCUGACAGAGAAUUGUCCCAGCACAGCGCUGGAGCUCUGCUAGGGACAGACUGCCUCCUCAGGUGGAUCCCUGACCCCCAUGCCUCCAGACUGGGAGAGACCUCCCAUCAGGGAUUAACAGACACCUCAUAUAGUAGAGCUCUGGCUGGCAUCAGGCCAGUGCCCCUCUGGGAUGAAGUUUCCACAGGAAGGAACAGGCAAGAAAUCUUGGCUGUUCUGCAGCCUCUGCUGGUGAUACCUAGGCAAAUAGAGUCUGGAGUGGACCACCAGCAAACUGCAGCAGACCUGCUGCAGAGAGGCCUGACUGUUAGAAGGAAAACUAACAAACAGAAAGCAAUAACAUCAACCUCAACCAAAAGGAUACCCACACAAAAAUCCCAACCAAAGGUCAUCACCUCAAACAUCGAAGGUAGAUAAAUCAAUGAAGACAGAAAAAAACUGUGCAUAAGUGCUGAAAAUUCCAAAAACCAGAAUGGCUCUUCUUCUAAAUGAUCACAACUCCUCUCCAGCAAGGGCACAAAACUGUGCAGAAAAUGAAUUUGACGAAUUGACAGAAGUAGGCUUCAGAAAAUGGGCAAUAACAAACUCCUCCAAGCUAAAGGAACACAUUCUAACCCAAUGCAAGGAAGCUAAGAACUUUGAAAACGGUUACAGGAACUGCUAACACUAGAAUAACCAGUUUACAGAAGAAACUAAAUGAUCUGAUGGAGCUGAAAAAUACAGCAUGAGAACUUUCUGAAUCAUACACAAAUAUCAAUAGCUGAAUCAACUAAGUGGAAGAAAGAAUAUUAGAGAUUGAAGAACAACUUACUGAAAAAAGGCAUGAAGACAAGAUCAGAGAAAAAAGAAUGAAAACAAACAAACAAAGCCUCCAAGAAAUGUGGGACUAUGUGAAAAGACUAAACCUAUGAUUGAUUAGUGUACCUAAAAGUGACAGGGAGAAUAGAAUGAAGUUGGAAAAUACACUUCAGGGUAUUAUCCAGAAGACUUUCUCCAAACUAGCAAGACAGGCCAACAUUCAAAUUCAGGAAAUAUAGAGAACACCACAAAGAUACUCCUCAAGAACAGCAACCCCAGGCAGGCACAGUGGUUCAAGCCUGCAAUCCCAGCACUUUGGGAGGCUGAGGUGUGUGGAUCACGAGGUCAAGAGAUCGAGACCAUCCUGGUCAACAUGGUGAAACCCCAUCUCUACUAAAAAUACAAAAAAUUAGCGGUGCAUGGUGGCACAUGCCUGUAAUCCCAGCUACUCAGGAGGCUGAGGUGGGAGAAUUGCCUGAACCUAGGAGGCGGAGGUUGCGGUGAGCGAGAUCGUGCCAUUGCACUCCAGUCUGGGUAACAAGAGCAAAACUCCAUCUCAAAAAAAAAAGAAGAGCAACCCCAAGACCCAUAAUCAUCAGAUUCACCAAGGUUGAAAUUAAGGAAAAAAUGUUAAGGGCAGCCAGAGAGAAAGGUCAGGUUACCAACAAAGGGAAGCCAAUCAGACCAACAGCAAAUCUUUCUGCAGACACCAUACAAGCCAGAUGAGAGUGGAGGCCAAUAUUCAACAUUCUCAAAGAAAAAAAUUUUCAAUCCAAAGUUUCAUAUCCAGCCAAACUAAGUUUCAUAAGCAAAGGAGAAAUAAGAUCCUGUACAGACAAGUAAAUGCUGAGGGAUUUUGUCACCACCAGGCCUGCCUUACAAGAGCUCCUGAAGGAAGCACUAAAUAUGGAAAGGAAAAACCAGUACCACCACUGUAAGAACAAACCAAAAUAUAAAGAUCAAUGAUACUAUGAAGAAACUGCAUCAACUAAUGUGCAAAAUAACCAGCUAGCAUCUUGAUGACAGGAUCAAAUUCACACAUAAUCAUAUUAACUUUAAAUGUAAAUGGGCUAAAUGCCCCCAAUUAAAAGAUACAGACUGGCAAAUUGGAUAAAGAGUCAAGACUCAUCAGUGUGCUGUAUUCAGGAGACCCAUAUCACAUGUGAAAACACACAUAGGCUCAAAAUAAACGGAUGGAGACUUAACAAGCAAAUGGAAAGCAAGAAAAAAGCUGAGGUUGCAAUCCUAGUCUGAUAAAACAGACUUUAAAUCAACAAAGAUGAAAAAAGACAAAGAAGGGCAUUACAUAACAGUAAAGGGAUCCAUGCAACAAGAAGAGAUAACUAUCCUCAAUAUAUAUGCACCCAAUACAGGAACACCCAGUUUAUAAAACAAGAUCUUAGAGACCUAUAAAAAGACUUAGACUACCAUACAAUAAUAGUGGGAAACUUCAAUACCCCAUUGUCAAUAUCAGAUGGAUCAAUGAGGCAGAAAAUUAACAAGGAUACUCAGGACUUGAACUCAGCUCUGGAGCAAAUGGACCUAAUAGACAUCUACAAAACUCUCCACCCCAAAUCAACAGAAUAUACAUUCUUCUCAGCACCACAUAGCACUUUUUCUAAAAUCAACCUCAUAAUCGGAAAUAAAACACUCCUCAGCAAAUGCAAAAGAAUGGAAAGCAUAACAAAGUCUCUCAGACCACAGUGCCAUCAAAUUAGAACUCAAGAUUAAGAAACUCACUCAACAACAACAAAACACACACACACACACA